rnacentral:tRNA from 1 species
GAACUAGAAGCGAAAAAUCGCUAUCGGUUUCGACCCGAUCCUUGGCCAAUUGGCCCUUGUUCU